rnacentral:rRNA from 1 species
AUUGAACGCUGGCGGCAGGCCUAACACAUGCAAGUCGAGCGGAUGAAGGGAGCUUGCUCCUGGAUUCAGCGGCGGACGGGUGAGUAAUGCCUAGGAAUCUGCCUGGUAGUGGGGGAUAACGUCCGGAAACGGGCGCUAAUACCGCAUACGUCCUGAGGGAGAAAGUGGGGGAUCUUCGGACCUCACGCUAUCAGAUGAGCCUAGGUCGGAUUAGCUAGUUGGUGGGGUAAAGGCCUACCAAGGCGACGAUCCGUAACUGGUCUGAGAGGAUGAUCAGUCACACUGGAACUGAGACACGGUCCAGACUCCUACGGGAGGCAGCAGUGGGGAAUAUUGGACAAUGGGCGAAAGCCUGAUCCAGCCAUGCCGCGUGGGUGAAGAAGGUCUUCGGAUUGUAAAGCACUUUAAGUUGGGAGGAAGGGCAGUAAGUUAAUACCUUGCUGUUUUGACGUUACCAACAGAAUAAGCACCGGCUAACUUCGU